rnacentral:rRNA from 1 species
UACGGGGGGGGUAAGCGUUGUUCGGAAUUACUGGGCGUAAAGGGCUCGUAGGCGGCCAACUAAGUCAGACGUGAAAUCCCUCAGCUUAACUGGGGAACUGCGUCUGAUACUGGAUGGCUUGGAUUUGGGAGAGGGAUGCGGAAUUCCAGGUGUAGCGGUGAAAUGCGUAGAUAUCGGGAGGAACACCAGUGGCGAAGGCGGCGACCUGGACGGACACUGACGCUGAGACGCGAAAGCGUGGGGAGCAAACAGG